AGCCUUUAGGGCCAGUAGGAGCCUGGCCCUGCCCUAGAAACACCUGGUGAGACUGUGUCACACUGAUGAGGCUAUGGCUCUUCCCUUAGGUUUGGAAAUGAUCUUCACAUUUCAAAUAAGCUGUUUGUUCUGGAUGCUGGGGCCUCUGGGUCUAAGGACAUGAAGGUACUUGAAAAUCACCUGCAGGAAAUACGGAGCCAGGGUGUUCCGUGACCAUCACCUGGCUGAAACUAUCAUUCAAGGUGAAGGAAGGUGGAAGUAAAACAUUAGGAGUUGGGGAACAUUAAUUGAUUGAGUCAACAAUUCCAAAACCAACAUUGAGACCCUCACCAUCAAUUUAACAUGACCACAAGAAUGAAAAGCCUCUACAAAAUUUUAUAUUUGAUAGAUAGAUUCUGCUUAAAGGCAACACUGAAGAAAGGACUACCCAGGGCUCCACCACAAAAGCACCAACUCACCCCAAGAACGACAUGCCGCAAUGCAGAAAUGAGUGGCGGUGUUUCUAGCCGGCUCCUCCUGAGUCCCCGCAGCUGCAUGGAGGCCUGUCCCAUCCUGCGUGUUCUAAGUCUGUCCUGCAAUGGCUCCCCUGUGUGGGAAAAUCAUCUUCUCGCUGCCUUUCUGGAGAAAGCUCAACGGGCCCAACCACCUAAUAUCACUGUAGCAGUUCGCAUGUGACAUACAGGACCAGCUGAACCCCCUGGCCAGCCAGGACGACCUCAGUUAAGCUUGCGGGCCGGCCAAGUGGCACAUUGGUUAAG